UGUUUCUAAUACGGAGACGGGAAGAAGAAGGAGAUUUAAGAGGAUCAUUAACUAUCGUAAAGGAGGAAGGCAGCUUAGAAAUAUUGUCAUUAGCAGGCGGGGAAAACUGAGUUGAUUGAGGUUGAUGCGAAUGUCCUGAACGAUUGGAAUUUGCUUUUCCCAUUAGGGAGACCUCUUUGGGUUUCAUAGGAGAAACACACACAUCUUCUUCUGAAUUCAAUGAAUUUGAAAAAGAAUUGAAAGAAAUUUCUUCUUCUGCAAUAGAGGGCUGAAAACGAACAUGAUUUCCAUUAGAAGAACUGCUAUAAGAAUUAGAAGAUCUAUGUCGUUUGAAAGAUGAAUAGGCAGGAUCCUGGUGAGAGGAUGGGUAAGAAUAAGAAGAAUAAAACCUAGGACGGCGGACACUUGGCUGAGGGGGAAGCAUCUCUCGGCGUUUAUACGAUAAUAAUACAGGAAAAAAGACAAACCGGCAUAGACCCCAAAAAAAACUUGCAAGGGUAAACUCUUUCUCUUCAUUCAAAAAGUGGUACAAAAAUACACGAGCGGAAUGAACGAAAAACGUAUAAAUUCGUUUCAGGAACACACGAAUCCAGUAGACGACAACACGCAUAAUGUUGGCAUGCUUCGGUUUUUCAUUCCUUGUAGGAACUUCCUUUUCCGUCGGUUUUGAUGACAAACUGCUAAGGCUGGACGCCGAAUAAGACGAUCUACGACGAUUAUAAUGCCUCAAAGUAGCUGAUGAAGCUCGCCCCCGAGCAUUAGCAAGUUUUUCUUUGUCAGCUUCAUCGUCGUCUAAAGGAGUGGCAAGGAUUGCUUUAUUAAUUUCAUC